AAUUUUUACAAGUAGGAAGCAGAAUCAGUUUUACUGUGGGCAUAAUUCUACGAGUCACAGUCCUAGCAAAUGCACAAGCGUUCUUCACUUGGAGCUGUUGGCUGUGCAGCUGGUAGCUGUUGACACAAAGAUAUUUUCCCCAGAAGAGGAAGCAGCUGAUUUACCUGUCUCCAGGAAUUAUCAACUUAUCAGAGUGGAGUGAUGGGGAUACUGAUGCCACAUGGUAUGGUGUGUUAGAGGGCUGCAGGAAGAGAUGACCAUGGAGUUCUCCAAGGACUACGACAAGUGGAGGUCAACCAAGGGUCAAUACUUUGGGGAUGAAAAAAGAGAUGAAUCAUGGCUACAUCCCUUCUGCCUGCCUGAAAGUUUGAAAUGGAAACAAAAGAAAGCUGAUGAACAAAGAAGAUAUACACCACCAAGCUGUAUUUGUGUGACCAUGGACUUCCCGUACAUAUAGAAGAUCUAUUGCCUCUGUUUGAUCAGUGGGUUUCUUUUCCCCCUUUCAUGAAUAGAGGUCUUUUUUGGUUUGGUUUUUUAAAAUAUCAUGAAUGAUAUAAUACAGAAAUCAGAGUUAAAUAUUUAAUAAUACUUUGUAUUGUUCCACGUAAGGAUCUCAAAGCACUGUACAAACAUGAGUUGUCUGAUCCCGAACUCAUCAGAGUCAAUGGGAAUUUUCCCAGGGGUGCAAAAUCAGGCCCUCAGUCUCUCAAACUGUCUUGAGAACUAAAGUAGCAUUACACCUGUUUUUACUCAUGUGUCAACUGAGGCAAAGAGAAGGUAAAGGAUUGGGAUCCAACUCCCAUUAAAGUCAAUCUUUGUACUGAAUUUACUGAUAGUUGCAUCAGGCUAUAAAUGACUUGUCUGUGGCAAUGAUGUGGGCAGGUCACACAGGCAGGAAUAGUAUCUCUGUGCUCUAACCACUCAAAAAACAAACCAAAACAUUAAAAGCAUCCUUUGUUUUAACUGAAUCCUUGUCUGCAGCAGGAUUAUUAAAUGAUUCCAUGCCCUUGGUUUUAUAUAUCAAUAACACACCAUUUAAAAUCUGAGGAGAUGGAAGAGAAAUAAUUAUUUUUAUGUCUCAUUUAUAUACUCUGUUGUUACAAAUGUAAGAUUUAGGGGCAAAAUCUGCUCUUUGUUACUCAGGUGUAAACCAGGAGUUACUCCAUUGAGAUUGAUGGAUUUCAUUCUGGAUUUGUACCAUGGUAUCAGAGCAAAAUUUGUCUCAAUGUAGAAAAUAAAAUCCAAUAAUUUUAUCUAAAUGGAUACGAUGCAAUGCUCAGCAUCUUAUUAGCAGUUUAAUGAUGUGCUGAAGGUUUGGA